GUAGCUUGGUUUCGGUCAGCAAGAGUCACCAAACGAAGAGGUGGUCCAAGAACCCUCACACCAUCACACGCACAACGCAGCGCCGCGUAUAACUUGUCGUUCACGCACGGUUAUACUUCUUGGAUUCCGCUGCAAGGAGCUCACGCGCGUACUCCAAAACGCAGACACGCCCAGACAUCGGUGCGCUGUGCACUGAUACAACUCUCUCUCUCUGGUGGCGCUUCACUGAAGGACUACAACACCGACGGAGCGUCUCUCUAUCGGUGUGUCUUGCCUAGUGGCGGACCCGAAGGGUUGAGCCGUACGAGAAUCAACAACCUCAGCCUUGAUCGUGGAGAUCGCUCCUCUCUCAUCCUCUUUUCUCUCAUUGUCGACAACUUUCCAUCUUUAGUGCUGCUGUGUGUCUGUGCGCGUACGUGCGGCUGGAGCGUCGGUCGUUGCGCUUCUCAUUUUUGGUACUUCUCCUUGUCAUUGUGGUGCUGUUGAUCUUCGCGCUCUCUGCGUGUGUCCGACGUCGUUGGCAGCUCUGCUCCUUCCCCUUACUCGCUCUCGCUUCCAUCAUCCAUCUCACCCAAUCAUUGUCGCCGCGUUGGGCUCCUUAUUCUUUGUCGCGUGUGUCCUUCCCUCGACUCUCUCCUGCUCUCUCUCUCUCUGUAGUUGUUCCGCUGUUUCUACAUCCACCACCCUCCCCAUCCCCUCUGCAUCGACCCCCGGUGUAGUCGCUGGGUCUGGACGUCUUGCCUCUGCUCUGACAUUAAGGGUAGGGUGCACCCCGCCACUUCUGAUUCUCGCUCUGUGUCUCCUCAUUUUUUUUUAGAGGCCGCAGGGGUUCCCCACUCGUCACCGCCGCCUCAAGCCUUUUCUCGGCAACCGCUUGCUGCGGGCGAGUAGGCGUUUCGCUUGCCUCUGCUCCUUUGGCUUGUGCGCGUGAGUCUGGUUUUCAGCCGUCGAAGUGCCAUCACACGCCGAUACGCACCGGCGGAGACAUGGACGACAACGAGUUCGAAUUUCCGCCGGAUCAGCUUGACGAUGUCGUCGCGAGCCGGCUUUCCCCUUACCAAACGGCAAUGUCAAGCCCGCUGCGGACGCCGUUUGCGUAUCCGACCGCUAACGUGCCGCUUAGCAUGCUGGCACAGAUUCCACUCGAAAACCUGCCGCCGACGCAGCCCAAGAACCCGCAGAACUUCUCCAUUGGACAGGUGCUGAGAGGCGCGCUCUCCACGUCACACAUGCGCGCUCCGCCAGGAGGCAGCUGUAUGCCUCGUCCCAGCGCUAGCGUGGCGCCACUUCCCCACUCGCAGCGUCUGCACCAGCAAAGCCCGACGCACUCGCCGUUCCUCUCAGCGGGUCACCCACCGCUGCCCUCGGCCUCGUCAGACGAAGAGGAGCGGGGCGGUGGUGCGGAAGGCGCGUAUCAGCUCGGCGAGGGAGGUGGCGAGGAGGCGCACGGUGGCAGCGCGCAGGGCUUGACGGAGCUCCAAAUGCGCGCGCGCCGCUGCCCCAACCGGCAGGCGCGCAUCGAUUGGAGCGAGGGGGAGGUGCGCAGCUUCUACCAGGCGCUCUCCCAGUACGGCACGGACUUCAGCGCCAUCGCCGUACUCUUCCCCGGUCGCUCCCGCAGAGACAUCAAGCGACUGUAUCAGCGGGAGAUGCGGCAGAAGCCCAAGGAGGUGCAAACAGCUCUCAACCAGAAACAUCCGAUCGACAUGGCCACCUUUGAGGUGCGCUACGAAGCGAAAAAGAAGGAGGCGCAGCAGCCCGUGAAUAAGAAAAAGCUGAACUCCGAGGAGUUGGCCUUCCUGGACGAAAUUGCAGGCAGGCACCCGUCGGAGUGCACCAUGCACAUGAAAGGUGAGGAGCUCGAGGUGCCGGUGCCGGCGGCUACGCUCGGAGAUUUGGAAGAGGCGACGGCCGCGCCGCCAUCUCGGCCGCCCAAGCGCCGACGCGACACGCAUCAGGCGGACUCCGAGGACGGAGCGGAGUCGAAACGCGCCACCAAAGAGAUCCCCCCUGCCGCUGACAACGACUUUGACAUGGAGCAGGAGUCGCUCUUCGACAUGGUCAUGCGGCACGAGCACGAGGACAACGCACCGCUGGACAUGCUGUUCGCGGCACCGCUGGAACAGGGGCAGCAGCAGCAUCUGGCAGCCCUGGAAGACUCGGACUUCUCUUUUGAGUGACGGUAGAACCAAAAAGUUCGGGAGCGAUGGACUUUCCUGGAGAAGAGGCGGUGGAAGCACAUAAAACGGAACGGACCGUUUAAUUUGUAUCUCUGCGGGUGUGGGUGGAGGGAUGCGGAGAGACAAUAGGGAUGAGCCUCCUUCUCCUCCUCCCCUUCGUGGGUCUCUCCUACCACCGUCUACGACGACUGUCGUUCGUUUUCGUUCCUGUCAUGGCUUCGUAAUUUACACUAGUGUACGUGGGGGAAGAGGGAGGGGGUGUAGACCUGCAGUAACAGCACCGCCCAUCGAUGCUCGCUCUCCCUCGGUCACACGCGUUCUAGUUCGCACCUCUUCCUCCUCCUUCUCCACCCCCACCUCCGCGCCUUCCGUCUGUUGCCAGCACCUUCCCCCCUUUCUUUGUCCCUUUGAUUUGUUUAGUCCCUCUCAUCUUCAUUGACGGUUUUCUUCUGCGGCCCUCUUGGUCCCUCCUUCCCACCUCCCCACCCCCACCACUACUCCCUCCGUCUCAAAGGCGUUUUCGCUGUCGGACUUAUAUUGCGACCGUUGGCUUUCUCUCCCUCCCUCUCGCUCUCAUUUUCGGUUCAGUGGUGUCGUUCCAAUGUGGCGGUGCUGUUUUGCCCGCCGUGGAGGUGUUUCGUCCUCAUUUUUGAGAAAAGGAGUGGAGAUGCCGUUGCUUGUCGAUGAACGGAGUGUGGGAGGGAGUUGAGGGCUCAUCUCGCCUCUCUGCGCGUCAUGCACGCGCGCACAUCUGGCUUUUUCUCUUUUCCUCGGUGUGCACUUCGUGUAUAAUUCUGCGUCUUCCGAUGGGUUGUGUACCGUCAAUCUUGUCUUGUGCUCUGGCAGUUUGUUGUUCUGCUCUCCCGUGGGUGUACCUCUUGCUUAUGUCUCCUAUCUAUCUGCCAGUGGUGUGGAGGCGGUGAUGAGUGGGCCGGUGGAGUUGUUGAGAGAGAGAGAAACAGGCCGGCCCAUUCAGCGGUCACUGUCGGCUGCCUGUAUUAUCAUCUUCAUGCGCAUCGCGCCUGUGCCCGUGGUGUCAUCUCGCUCCUCAUGGGCGGAAAGAGCAGCAACG
rnacentral:misc_RNA from 1 species